ACACGAUGCAAUCUAACGGCUGAUCGCGGAUGGGAUGAACGUAUUAAAUAUGUAUGUGGCACGGAAAGACGGAUGCACUGAGAUGCAUCGCGCUGAAGAUAAUCCUCGUAGAAAGUUACGACACACAGGAAAAAGAACUGCUGCUGUUCGAGAAAUUCUAUGGAUCUGAAGUUAUUAAAAGGAUGAAACGAUAGAUAGCCUUUACGUCAGCUUUGACCAGUCCAAACGCUCAUGGCGCACAAACUGAAAAUCUCCAACAGUUUUAUCACGCACCAAGACCGGCUAAGCACAAUGAUACAGGGAACACGAAAUCGUAAAAUGCUAAUCUUCCUGAAUCCACCAAAAUGCUAUGGCUGGCUAUGGUACUCGAUAUUUCAACCAUGAUAGACAAGAAUUCGUAAAACACAAGAGGAAUCAUCGUCGUGCUCGCCUUCGCCUGUUAUGCGGCUGAACCCUGCAUUUAACACAGAGGAUGUUACAUAAAAAGGAUCUCAGAUUUUGCUAGCACGUAGCAAUUUUCGCAAGAAAAUUAAUUAGCUACGAUAAUAGAC
rnacentral:misc_RNA from 1 species